CGGGGCGUGGCGCAGUUUGGUAGCGCACUUGGUUUGGGACCAAGGGGUCGCAGGUUCAAAUCCUGUCGCCCCGACCA
rnacentral:tRNA from 1 species